AUUGAACGCUGGCGGCAUGCUUUACACAUGCAAGUCGGACGAGUGGCGAACGGGUGAGUAACGCAGCGGAACGUACCGAGUAAUGGGGGAUAACUGUCCGAAAGGACAGCUCCUACCGCAUAUUAUUCGAGCGGGCGCUGUCUGAUUAGCUGGUUGGCGGGGGAAAGGCCAAACAGGGCGACGAUCCCUAGCUGGUCUGAGAGGAUGACCAGCCAAACGGGAACUGAGACACGGUCCAGACUCCUACGGGAGGCAGCAGUGGGGAAUAUUGCACAAUGGGCGCAAGCCUGAUGCAGCCAUGCCGCGUGUGUGAAGAAGGCCUUCGGGUUGUAAAGCACUUGCAGCGGGGAGGCGUUACCCGCAGAAGAAGCACCGGCUAACUCCGUGCCAGCAGCCGCGGUAAUAC
rnacentral:rRNA from 1 species